GGAAAAGUUGGGAUUUUGAAAUUUAAACGUAUUAUUUUGAACUGCUUAAACAAACACAUAUUUUGUUUAUUACUGUAUUUUCCAGAUCGCACCUCUCCUAGCCGCUCAAUACUAUAGAGGAUUAAGCAGCCCAGCCCCCUUUCUUAAAAUUAGGGAUUUUUGGCUAAUUUCUUUUGUUCACAAAUCUCUUAAGUAGUUGUUCUUCUCUAAGAAAUGGGUCAGAUCCAGUACUCUGAUAAGUACUUCGAUGACACCUACGAGUAUAGGCAUGUAGUUCUUCCUCCUGAAGUAGCCAAGUUGCUACCAAAGAACCGUCUUCUGUCUGAAAAUGAGUGGCGUGCAAUUGGAGUUCAACAGAGCCGAGGAUGGGUUCACUAUGCUGUUCAUCGACCAGAGCCACACAUCAUGCUCUUCAGGAGGCCACUCAAUUAUCAACAGCAACAAGAGAACCAAGUUCAGCAAGCCAUGCUUGCCAAGUGAAGAUUCACGCUACUUGUUUCUUUUCAACGUAUCUUAUAUAAAUGUCUACCUAAAUAUCUGCUUCUGAUAUGCUAAACACGACGCACACUACCUUAGCGUUGGUGACAAGACGCUUCUACACAAGAUGACAAGAAUGUACGAGUGAAAUACCUUUCUUCAGAGAAACUGAAAAGUGACCAACUCAUCUUAUUAUUGGUGUGCAAAAGUUCAAGUGAGUCUAGAGGCAGAUCUAACCAGGUUUUGUGGGGUUUAAUUGCACCCAUUGCUUCCAACAUCCAACAUAUACACUUUAUAGGAUCGCAACUAUUAUGAAACACUAACGUUAAAUUUCAAAUCCACUUAUGAAUUCAACCCAUAUCGCUAACAUCCUGAAUUCUCUCAGAAUCAGAACUUUCAAUUAAGUACGACAUUCAGUAAGAAGUAAGUCAAGUUCCAUUAACUCCUCUUAACUUGUUCUUAGACGAUGCAUUGAGUUGAGAGUCGAAGAAUAAACGGAAUAGAAAACACUUCUAACUGAAGAUUCAAGUGAAAGCCAUGUGGAUAAAUUUGAAGUCCAUUACGAGGGUAGAGCACACAAGAGAACAAUUAUGAAUUGAAAUGGGAAAGAAAUUCAAGAGCAAACUCUAACCUCCAAUGCUUUGAUGAGAUCUUCCUUUGAGUGGGCAGCAGAAAUACAUAUGCGUGCUCUAGCCAAAAGUAAAGGGGUGGCUGGAAAAGCAACUACCACAACGGCUACCUAAAGUAACAGACCACGCGGUGAGUGUUAAGACAUUGAUACAAGUGAGGGAAAAAAACAGGAGAAUAGACAUUCUUUUGACAAAGAAUUAGCUAGAUAGAUAAGGAUAACGUUGAAUUAACAAGAGAAGAAAGUGUACAUUCUGUUUGAGACAGUCUCGUGAAAAAGCAGGUAAUUUUG